CCAGUAGUUUUAAGUAGUUUAUUAUCAUUCAGAGGUUUCAUAUCAACAUGUCAGAAAAUGAUCACAUGACCAACAACAAGGGACAACUUUACAUAUGACCAACUGUAGGACAAGACAAUGGAACUUUUUUGGGGGAAGAGGUAGGAGGGGGAGAGAGGAUGGAGAGGGAGAGAGGUAGGAGAGGGAGCGGGGAGGAGAGGGAGAGAGGAGGAGAGGGAGAGAGGAGAGGGGGAGGGGAGAGGGGGAGGAAAGGGAGAGAGGGAGGAGAGGGAGAGAGGAGGAGAGGGAGAGAGGAUGGAGAGGGAGAGGAGAGGGAGAGAGGAGGAGAGGGAGAGAGGAGGAGAGGGAGAGAGGAGAGGGGGAGAGGAGAGGGAGAGAGGAGGAGAGGGAGAGAGGUAGGAGAGGGAGAGAGGUAGGAGAGGGAGAGAGGAGAGGGAGAGAGGUAGGAGAGGGAGAGAGGAGAGGGAGAGGGGAGAGGGGAGGAGAGGGAGAGAGGUAGGAGAGGGAGAGAGGAGAGGGAGAGAGGUAGGAGAGGGAGCGGGGAGGAGAGGGAGAGAGGAGGAGAGGGAGAGAGGGAGAGAGGAGGAGAGGGAGAGAGGAGGAGAGGGAGCGGGGAGGAGAGGGAGAGAGGAGGACAGGGAGAGAGGAGGAGAAGGGAGAGAGGAAGGAGAGGGAGAGAGGAGGAGAGGGAGAGAGGAGGAGAGGGAGAGAGGAGGACAGGGAGAGAGGAGGAGAGGGAGCGGGGAGGAGAGGGAGAGAGGAGGACAGGGAGAGAGGAGGACAGGGAGAGAGGAGGAGAGGGAGCGGGGAGGAGAGGGAGAGAGGAGGACAGGGAGAGAGGAGGAGAGGGAGAGAGGAAGGAGAGGGAGAGAGGAGGAGAGGAAGGAGAGGGAGAGAGGAGGAGAGGAGGAGAGGGAGAGAGGAGGAGAGUUAGCGGGGAGGAGGGGGAGAGAGGUAGGAGAGGGAGAGAGAAGAAGAGGGAGAGGGGUAGGAGAGGGAGAGACCCCCUCCUCCUCAGGCUCUCCUCCCAUCGCCCAUAGCUCGGCUGGGGAGCUGCCUGGGGGUGAGGCGAUGGGUGAGGCGAGGAUCAGAAUGGGUAGAAGCUUGGGUCCCCCUUACUGGGGGGCUCUUCUCCAGGGGUUACCUGCACCUCCACUCCCUCCCCCCUCCCUCACCCCUACACCCCCCUCUGUCCCCUUCUCCACGGCCCCCUCAAUCUGUACCCCUACCGCACCUCCCACCUCAGGUUUGGGGGUCUCCUGCCCCCCCAAGGCCAUCGGGGCUUCAGUCGGGGGGUUCCCCAGGUGGGCGUGGCCGGGGUCAGGGGUCAGAGGUAAGGGGUCAAGGGUUAAGGGUGAAAGGUCAGGGUUCGGGUCCACACUCAGCCCCUGGCUCUGGUACGCUGGGAUCACUGGAGGCAGCAUCACCCUGGUGUAGACGACCU
rnacentral:lncRNA from 1 species